UACGAAGGGGGGCUAGCGUUGCUCGGAUUGACUGGGCGUAAAGGGCGCGUAGGCGGUUUGCACAGUCAGACGUGAAAUUCCUGGGCUUAACCUGGGGGGCUGCGUUUGAUACGUGCAGGCUUGAGUUCGGAAGAGGGUCGUGGAAUUCCCAGUGUAGAGGUGAAAUUCGUAGAUAUUGGGAAGAACACCGGUGGCGAAGGCGGCGACCUGGUCCGAUACUGACGCUGAGGCGCGAAAGCGUGGGGAGCGAACAGG
rnacentral:rRNA from 1 species